rnacentral:rRNA from 1 species
GACGAACGCUGGCGGCAUGCCUAAUACAUGCAAGUCGAACGCUGAAGCACUCUGCUUGCAGAGUGCGGAUGAGUGGCGAACGGGUGAGUAACACGUGGGAAAUCUGCCUAUAAGAGGGGGAUAACAUUCGGAAACGGAUGCUAAUACCGCAUAUAUUCUUGGACCGCCUGGUCCUUGAAAGAAAGACGGCUUUGCUGUCGCUUAUAGAUGAUCCCGCGGCGUAUUAGUUAGUUGGUGGGGUAAAGGCCUACCAAGACAAUGAUACGUAGCCGACCUGAGAGGGUGAUCGGCCACACUGGGACUGAGACACGGCCCAGACUCCUACGGGAGGCAGCAGUAGGGAAUCUUCCACAAUGGGCGAAAGCCUGAUGGAGCAAUGCCGCGUGAAUGAAGAAGGUCUUCGGAGCGUAAAGUUCUGUUAUGAGAGAAGAACAAGUCAAGGAGUAACUGUCUUGACUUUGACGGUACCUAACCAGAAAGUCACGGCUAACUACGUG